CCUGACCUGAGAGGCGUUACAGAUGUGACUGCUGCGUCACAUGUGUGUCAUUAGGUGGCAGAGAGAAGAGGUUUGUCUACGUCCAGUGCUCCGACCUGGGAGCCAUUAGGUGAUUGAUAGUCUGACACU
rfam:Erinaceus europaeus unplaced genomic scaffold scaffold01218, whole genome shotgun sequence